AUGUUCUCUGUAGCUCUGUUGCUGCUGCUGGCGGCUGGAUCCUAUGUGAAGUGUGAACAGCUGACACAGCCAGCCUCUAUGACUGUGCAACCAGGUCAACGUCUGACCAUCAGAUGUCAGGUCUCUUAUGAUAUGAGCAGCUACUGGACAGCUUGGAUCAGACAGGCUGCUGGGAAAGGACUGGAGUGGAUUGGGAUGAAAUAUACUGGAAACUCAUACUACAAAGACUCCCUGAAGAACAAGUUCAGUAUUGACUUAGACACCUCCAGCAAAACAGUGACUCUGAAUGGACAGAAUAUGCAGCCUGAAGACUCUGCUGUUUAUUACUGUGCCAGAGAGCCACACAGCAGAAGAAGAGAAACUCCCACCAUCACCUUCAACACCAACAUGAUAUCUGUAGCUCUGCUGCUGCUGCUGGAUCCUAUGUAA